GGCACAGCUUGUACAGGAUAGGUAGGAGCCUUUGAAACGUGAGCGCUAGCUUACGUGGAGGCGCUGGUGGGAUACUACCCUAGCUGUGUUGGCUUUCUAACCCGCACCACUUAUCGUGGUGGGAGACAGUGUCAGGCGGGCAGUUUGACUGGGGCGGUCGCCUCCUAAAAGGUAACGGAGGCGCUCAAAGGUUCCCUCAGAAUGGUUGGAAAUCAUUCAUAGA
rnacentral:rRNA from 1 species